UACAGAGGGUGCAAGCGUUAAUCGGAAUUAUUGGGCGUAAAGCGCAUGUAGGUGGUUUUGUAAGUUUGAUGUGAAAGCCCUGGGCUUAACCUGGGAAUGGCAUUUGGGACUGCAAGGCUGGAGUGCGGCAGAGGAGACUGGAAUUCCUGGUGUAGCAGUGAAAUGCGUAGAUAUCAGGAGGAAUACCGAUGGCGAAGGCAGGUCUCUGGGCUGACACUGACGCUCAUGCACGAAAGCGUGGGGAGCAAACAGG
rnacentral:rRNA from 1 species